rnacentral:rRNA from 1 species
GGGUUUGCAGUCGAACGGGGUGGGGGGGCAACUUUCCAUCCAGUGGCGAACGGGUGAGUAACACAUCGGAACGUACCCCGUAGUGGGGGAUAACUCGGCGAAAGCCGUGCUAAUACCGCAUAUGCUCUGCGGAGGAAAGCGGGGGACCUGAGGGUAACUGAGGGCCUUGUGCUAUGGGAGCGGCCGAUGUCCGAUUAGCUAGUUGGUGGGGUAAUGGCCCACCAAGGCGACGAUCGGUAGCUGGUCUGAGAGGAUGAUCAGCCACACUGGGACUGAGACACGGCCCAGACUCCUACGGGAGGCAGCAGUGGGGAAUUUUGGACAAUGGGGGCAACCCUGAUCCAGCCAUGCCGCGUGCGGGAAGAAGGCCUUCGGGUUGUAAACCGCUUUUGGUCGGGAAGAAAAGGCUCAUCCUAAUACGGUGGGUUCUUGACGGUACCGGCAGAAUAAGCACCGGCUAACUACGUGCCAGCAGCCGCGGUAAUACGUAGGGUGCGAGCGUUAAUCGGAAUUACUGGGCGUAAAGCGUGCGCAGGCGGUUCGUUAAGUUCGUUGUGAAAGCCCCGGGCUCAACCUGGGAAUGGCAAUGGAAACUGGCGGGCUGGAGUGUGGCAGAGGGGGGUGGAAUUCCACGUGUAGCAGUGAAAUGCGUAGAGAUGUGGAGGAACACCGAUGGCGAAGGCAGCCCCCUGGGCCAACACUGACGCUCAGGCACGAAAGCGUGGGAGCAAACAGGAUUAGAUACCCUGGUAGUCCACGCCCUAAACGAUGUCAACUGGGUGUUGGGGAAGCGAUUCCUUGGUACCGUAGCUAACGCGUGAAGUUGACCGCCUGGGGAGUACGGCCGCAAGGUUAAAACUCAAAGGAAUUGACGGGGACCCGCACAAGCGG